rnacentral:rRNA from 1 species
AUACGGAGGGUGCGAGCGUUAAUCGGAAUUACUGGGCGUAAAGCGUACGUAGGCGGUUGGUUAAGUUAGAUGUGAAAGCCCCGGGCUUAACCUGGGAACUGCAUUUAAAACUGGCGAACUAGAGUUGAGUAGAGGGGAGUGGAAUUUCAGGUGUAGCGGUGAAAUGCGUAGAGAUCAGAAGGAACACCAGUGGCGAAGGCGACUCCCUGGACUCGAACUGACGCUGAGGUACGAAAGCGUGGGUAGCAAACGGGAUUAGAUACCCCGGUAGUCC